UAUCCCGAUAUCCCGAUAUCCCGAUAGGAGCGGAGCGCAGGCGCACUCGGAGCAUGGAGCUGCACCACGUGAACCGGGUGAUCCUGGAGAUGCUGGCGUGCAUCGUCCUGGUCUAUCACCUGACACAGGCCAACGUCUUCUUCUCCUACCUGCUGCUGCUCCUGCCCCUCAUCUUCCUCUUCGAGGAGCCCAUCGGCACAUGAGGAUGGCUCAAGUCCCGAUCACUGCACAACAAGGAUCCGUGCCUGUC